CUAAGCGGCGCGAAGAGAAGAAAAGUUGCAGUUGAUGGCACGUUUAUGGAAUAACUGAACAAGAAGGGCGACUUUGUGUCUCAUUCGGUGACCCGCUUGCAACAACAGUCAAACCCGACGGAGAGUUAGCUGCUUGUAGACGAGAAGGGGAAAUUCAUAUAGCGAGUUAAAAGCAAUAAAAAGGCGUAAAGUUUGCACCAUCUUUCGGAAAAGCGACGAAGAAUAAUGAGAAAAACAAACAUCGCCAGUCAGUAGGGUUGUGCGAAAAAACUGAACAAUAAAUCAAAUUAUUACUAUUUCUUGAUAUUUCUAUCAGAACAGCGAGAUCUGCAAAGUGGCUGGCAUUUCACCAACAACAAAACAACAUGCAACCAUCCCCAAUGCCUUUUCACGGUAACCUCCGGAGUGAUCAGUCCGAAGAAAAACCGGAUAAACGAGCCUCGUACGGAGAUUGAUCACAUGCGAGGGGUAGGAAAUCGAAUGUUUUCUUUUCCGUAGCCGCAUAAUACAUAGAGCAGCCAACAUUAGACGGAGGAGAGCAAAACAACCUCUCUCAGCCUACUUGUCGCUUACUGCAAUAGAUGCAUUUUUUGUACACCUCACUUCUUUUGCGAAGCAUGUGGAAAGAUAAAUUGUCGAACAAAGCAAGCCGUACGGAGACCAAGGCGAGCGAAGGGUAUGAACCAAGUUAUUGGACGACCAAGUUGAGUGUUCAAGGCAGUCUCUGCAGCGAUAAACGAAAGGUACUUGAACUCAUCAAGCACACAUCUGGCUUCCUGGAAGUACAAUAAAG